GCUGCUGCUGGCGCUGCUGGGGACCGGGUUGGUGUUGCGCCGCACCGGUCUUCUGAGGUGGAGGAGACAUCAGGAGGCGGAGUCCCAGCCUUCAGGGCUGCCCCAGGGCUUCUCCAACCCUGUGUUCCACUCGGCGACCUGGAAGGAGCAGCCCCCAGUACAGCUGCCCAGCGUGGGCCUGGAUGUGGACAGCAGCACCUGCUAUUUCGUGAACCCGCUGUUUGUGGCCGAGACGGAAGCCUGAUACCCAGACCCCACCUGCACAGUGGGGACCCCCACCUUGAGGCCUCCUGGUGCCCACAAUAAAGGGUUUUUUUCUGCACCCAA